rnacentral:tRNA from 1 species
GCCGGCCUGAUGCUGCUCGCCUGGCCGCUGGUCGUCGAGCUGCUGCUGCUGGGCGCGGGCGCCGGCUUCCUGGCCG